rnacentral:rRNA from 1 species
AUUGAACGCUGGCGGCAGGCCUAACACAUGCAAGUCGAGCGGAUGAAGGGAGCUUGCUCCUGGAUUCAGCGGCGGACGGGUGAGUAAUGCCUAGGAAUCUGCCUGGUAGUGGGGGAUAACGUCCGGAAACGGGCGCUAAUACCGCAUACGUCCUGAGGGAGAAAGUGGGGGAUCUUCGGACCUCACGCUAUCAGAUGAGCCUAGGUCGGAUUAGCUAGUUGGUGGGGUAAAGGCCUACCAAGGCGACGAUCCGUAACUGGUCUGAGAGGAUGAUCAGUCAAACUGGAACUGGAACACGGUCCAGACUCCUACGGGAGGCAGCAGUGGGGAAUAUUGGACAAUGGGCGGAAGCCUGAUCCAGCCAUGCCGCGUGUGUGAAGAAGGUCUUCGGAUUGUAAAGCACUUUAAGUUGGGAGGAAGGGCAGUAAGUUAAUACCUUGCUGUUUUGACGUUACCAACAGAAUAAGCACCGGCUAACUUCGUG